GAUGAACGCUAGCGGGAGGCCUAACACAUGCAAGCUGAGCGGUAGAGUUUCUUCGGAGACUUGAGAGCGGCGUACGGGUGCGGAACACGUGUGCAACCUGCCUUUAUCAGGGGGAUAGCCUUUCGAAAGGAAGAUUAAUACCCCAUAAUAUAUAGAGUGGCAUCACUUUAUAUUGAAAACUGAGGUGGAUAAAGAUGGGCACGCGCAAGAUUAGAUAGUUGGUGAGGUAACGGCUCACCAAGUCGAUGAUCUUUAGGGGGCCUGAGAGGGUGAGCCCCCACACUGGUACUGAGACACGGACCAGACUCCCACGGGAGGCAGCAGUGAGGAAUAUUGGACAAUGGGUUAGCGCCUGAUCCAGCCAUCCCGCGUGAAGGACGACGGCCCUAUGGGUUGUAAACUUCUUUUGUACAGGGAUAAACCUAUUUACGUGUAAAUAGCUGAAGGUACUGUACGAAUAAGCACCGGCUAACUCCGUGCCAGCAGCAGCCGCGG
rnacentral:rRNA from 1 species